rnacentral:lncRNA from 1 species
GGGAUUGUUAGAACAAAGGAGAAUGUGGAUGAAAGUUUGAAAAAAAGAAAGGAAAAAAAAGAAGAAGAAAAAAAGGCUUCAAGUCCCACAUCGCUCAGGAUAAACACUUGAAUAGUGUUUCACUCCCUAUAUAUAGAGAGCUCCUUUCUUCAUUUUUCUUUGCCCCAGUUGAGAAGCAUUUCCUCAACUUUUCUUUCUCCCUCUC